CUGAACCGAUUUGUAAGAGAAUGGGUGACUGAAAUUAGCAAAGAAUCGCCCCACACAAAGAUGGCGCGUGCAGAAUUUGUGAAAGCGAAAAAGGAGACGGAGGCGAAGCCUAAGAGCAGCUGGAGUCCAGAAAUGAUUUUUUUCGAUGAAUUUAGGAUUUUGCCGCAGUAUACAUCUGCAGUCCCAGAAUCCUCGGCCAUUACAAUGUGCUUCCUCAGUCUAGCAAGGACUGUUGUGUCGAACCAAUGAAGGCCUGGAGAACACAUAACCCCAAGCAUGAAGAGUGUUCCUGGCAUAACUGAAGCGGCCAUGAAUAUCACUACCACUGCUGCUGCCACCGCUGCCGCCACCACCACGGCCACCGCCUCCCACCACCUUCACCACCCCUCCCUUGGUCUGCAGCACACACUAGAUGCAAGCUUUCCACAGUGGCUCUCUGCCGAAUUUGCCCAGUGGGUUCCUAGAUUACUCCUGUGUGCGAGAAUAGCCAACCAUGUAGUCUGACAAGAAGUAUUUACAACUACUUAGCCUGUUCAGCUGGAAAGAAAUCAAGAGAUAACACUGAACCCUGAGAUGAUGUAUUGCAAAUCAAAAGCUCCAAUCCAUAAAUAGCCCACUCGGUGACCGGCUAAAUGAAAAGCUGAUCCUGGUUAUUGUCCAGUGUUUUCAGGUUGUCAAAAGAGAUAUUUUUAACAGGCAUUCUUAGAGAGUCAGGAUUCAUUGUUUAUAAAUGCAUGGAGUAUGACUUAGUCUUACCUUUCUGCUGGGAGAGGGUUCUUCCCAAGGAGAUUCGCAUAUAGAGUCCAGAGGAGACCACGCCUUCCUUUCACUGUUUUCUACUGUUUCCGUUUACUCUCAAGUAAGGUUGAUUAACAAUUACAAUUUCAUAUUACUUUAAGGGACCUAAUCAAAAGGAGCCAGUCAUCCAUUUCCCUCUAACGGGAGCUUAUUGUCUUAGUGCUCAAUAAAUGUUUAAUGAAUAGAUUUGAUAGAGUUAACUACGCAAAACAUGAACGGGCCUUCUUUAAAGUGCUGGCUGGAUUAAUGUUUCUGUCGGAAGUGCAAAAACAAUCUGCACAUUUAUUUAUUUGCCUAAAGGUGAUUCAAAAGAUGGGUUUUAGUGAUGGGGGAUGCUUUAUGUUAAGGUUCCAUGUAGCCACUGCCUGAUACGCCAAUGGUCUGAUAUUAUGGCAAGGAAUGCCUCCUCUGUUAAACCAGCUGAAGACACUUGGUUUCUAGGAAUACAGCCUGAAAUUUAGAACUGUGUGUCUUUUUGCAGUUUCACAAAAUGGAUUAAUUUAUGUCAAACCCAAGUGGUUGGCUCUAGGAGGAAAAUGUGUAAAAGAAAAACCAAGUAUUUUUUCAUGAAACGUAUUGCCCAAGGUUAAUUUUUAAGAAUCAUUUUUUACAAAAUCACUUAUUUCACCAAUUCAUCAGGUACUUUGAUGUUUGUAUUUCUCAUUGGUUUAAUGAUGGAAUUUGUCUUCAUUUUGCAGAAGUUAUUCAUCUCAUGUUUUUGGUGAGACAAUUGGAACAAUUUGUUUUUUGAGAGAAGUAAAUAAAAAUUCUGGGCAAUUUGUUAAAUUCCACUAAUUUGUUUUAAUGCUAGUCACCCGGUAAUUCUUCAGUACACUUAAAUUUGAUGGGAAAAACA